AAAUAAGAAGCAAAAAUUUUGCAUUUAAUUUCGACUUAAAAUUUAGAGUAAUUACUCCUUAUUUA
rnacentral:tRNA from 1 species